GACGAACGCUGGCGGCGUGCUUAACACAUGCAAGUCGAACGGAAAGGCCCUGCUUUUGUGGGGUGCUCGAGUGGCGAACGGGUGAGUAACACGUGAGUAACCUGCCCUUGACUUUGGGAUAACUUCAGGAAACUGGGGCUAAUACCGGAUAGGAGCUCCUGCUGCAUGGUGGGGGUUGGAAAGUUUCGGCGGUUGGGGAUGGACUCGCGGCUUAUCAGCUUGUUGGUGGGGUAGUGGCUUACCAAGGCUUUGACGGGUAGCCGGCCUGAGAGGGUGACCGGCCACAAUGGGACUGAGAUACGGCCCAGACUCCUUCGGGAGGCAGCAGUGGGGAGUAUUGCACAAUGGGCGGAAGCCUGAGGCAGCAACGCCGCGUGCGGGAUGACGGCCUUUGGGUUGUAAACCGCUUUCGCCUGUGACGAAGAGUUAGUGACGGUAAUGGGUAAAGAAGCACCGGCUAACUACGUG
rnacentral:rRNA from 1 species